rnacentral:rRNA from 1 species
UCACCUAGAGAUGGAUCCGCGGUGCAUUAGUUAGUUGGUGGGGUAAAGGCCUACCAAGACAAUGAUGCAUAGCCGAGUUGAGAGACUGAUCGGCCACAUUGGGACUGAGACACGGCCCAAACUCCUACGGGAGGCUGCAGUAGGGAAUCUUCCACAAUGGGCGAAAGCCUGAUGGAGCAACGCCGCGUGUGUGAUGAAGGCUUUCGGGUCGUAAAGCACUGUUGUAUGGGAAGAACAGCUAGAAUAGGGAAUGAUUUUAGUUUGACGGUACCAUACCAGAAAGGGACGGCUAAAUACGUGCCAGCAGCCGCGGUAAUACGUAUGUCCCGAGCGUUAUCCGGAUUUAUUGGGCGUAAAGCGAGCGCAGACGGUUGAUUAAGUCUGAUGUGAAAGCCCGGAGCUCAACUCCGGAAUGGCAUUGGAAACUGGUUAACUUGAGUGCAGUAGAGGUAAGUGGAACUCCAUGUAUAGCGGUGGAAUGCGUAGAUAU